rnacentral:rRNA from 1 species
GAGUGGCGAACGGGUGAGUAACACGUGGGUAACCUGCCCAGAAGUAGGGGAUAACACCUGGAAACAGAUGCUAAUACCGUAUAAUAGAGAAAACCGCAUGGUUUUCUUUUAAAAGAUGGCUCUGCUAUCACUUCUGGAUGGACCCGCGGCGUAUUAGCUAGUUGGUGAGGUAAAGGCUCACCAAGGCAGUGAUACGUAGCCGACCUGAGAGGGUAAUCGGCCACAUUGGGACUGAGACACGGCCCAGACUCCUACGGGAGGCAGCAGUAGGGAAUCUUCCACAAUGGACGCAAGUCUGAUGGAGCAACGCCGCGUGAGUGAAGAAGGGUUUCGGCUCGUAAAGCUCUGUUGUUAAAGAAGAACGUGGGUAAGAGUAACUGUUUACCCAGUGACGGUAUUUAACCAGAAAGCCACGGCUAACUACGUGCCAGCAGCCGCGGUAAUACGUAGGUGGCAAGCGUUAUCCGGAUUUAUUGGGCGUAAAGCGAGCGCAGGCGGUCUUUUAAGUCUAAUGUGAAAGCCUUCGGCUCAACCGAAGAAGUGCAUUGGAAACUGGGAGACUUGAGUGCAGAAGAGGACAGUGGAACUCCAUGUGUAGCGGUGAAAUGCGUAGAUAUAUGGAAGAACACCAGUGGCGAAGGCGGCUGUCUGGUCUGCAACUGACGCUGAGGCUCGAAAGCAUGGGUAGCGAACAGGAUUAGAUACCCUGGUAGUCCAUGCCGUAAACGAUGAUUACUAAGUGUUGGAGGGUUUCCGCCCUUCAGUGCUGCAGCUAACGCAUUAAGUAAUCCGCCUGGGGAGUACGACCGCAAGGUUGAAACUCAAAAGAAUUGACGGGGGCCCGCACAAGCGGUGGAGCAUGUGGUUUAAUUCGAAGCUACGCGAAGAACCUUACCAGGUCUUGACAUCUUCUGACAGUCUAAGAGAUUAGAGGUUCCCUUCGGGGACAGAAUGACAGGUGGUGCAUGGUUGUCGUCAGCUCGUGUCGUGAGAUGUUGGGUUAAGUCCCGCAACGAGCGCAACCCUUAUUACUAGUUGCCAGCAUUAAGUUGGGCACUCUAGUGAGACUGCCGGUGACAAACCGGAGGAAGGUGGGGACGACGUCAAAUCAUCAUGCCCCUUAUGACCUGGGCUACACACGUGCUACAAUGGAUGGUACAACGAGUCGCGAGACCGCGAGGUUAAGCUAAUCUCUUAAAACCAUUCUCAGUUCGGACUGUAGGCUGCAACUCGCCUACACGAAGUCGGAAUCGCUAGUAAUCGCGGAUCAGCAUGCCGCGGUGAAUACGUUCCCGGGCCUUGUACACACCGCCCGUCACACCAUGAGAGUUUGUAACACCCAAAGCCGGUGGGGUAACCUUUUAGGAGCUAGCCGUCUAAGGUG